AAAAAGCUUGACGAGUCCUCAACACAAGGCCUCUCUGAAUUUAAGAACGAGGUUAGCGUGAUUGCACGCCUUCAACACGUUAACCUUGUUUGCCUCCGUGGGUGGAGCACUUACAAUGAAGAAAAGGUCUUGAUUUACGAGUAGUUGGAAAACGGAAGCCUUGAAGGCCAUCUCUUUGGUGGAAGAACCCAAUCCUCUAGACUUAAUUGGCAGACAAGAUUUGAGAUAAUUGAUGGCAUUGCGCGAGGGCUUGAAUAUAUGCAAGAGGAAUCACGGGUUAAAAUUGUACAUAGGGACUUGAAACCGGGAAAUAUCUUACUUGAUAUAGAUAUGGUCCCAAAAAUUUCAGAUUUCGGCCUGGCAAGAAUCUGCAGAAAGAACGAGAAUGAAGCUUUUACCACUGCGGCGGCUGGAAGCUAUGGUUACAUGUCUCCAGAAUAUGCGGGAGAGGGUAUAUACUCUGACGAAAUCGGAUGUUUACAGCUUCGGAGUUAUUGUGCUGGAGAUUGUAACUGGCUAGAUGAACAGGACGUUCUCCCUGUCGGACCCCAACUGUGCUAAUCUCCUCAGCUAUAACCAGAGGGAUCAGGAGAUGUUCAAGAUGAUGCUCUUUCCUGUCCACAGCUACAAGCAGCUGCUCAAACGCUCUGUGACAUUGCAGUCCAAUCCGAAAAACACAACAACCCAAAUGGAAUCCUCAGAUGGCCGAAUAAGCUCUCUCAGAAAUCCAUGAAAGCCCGCAAAACCAAACUCCGAAAGGCACAAGACAAAUGUUUCCUCCUUCGAUCAUAACUCAAGCAACUACAACAAUAACAACAACCAUGUGAGAAAAGAUUCAGCCGCAGAGCAUACAUAACCAUCAUCAUCAUCAUCUUAAGCCUUCAAAGAGACUGAAAUUAUCAACAAUGGAGAACAAGAAAGGAACAUUCCCAAGCUCAUCAUCAUCCCCAAUAGAAUCACAUAGAAAACAUUCAUCUUCAAGCAAGCUCAAGAAUCACUCCCGUUUGAUGCCGCCGCCUCCACCACCAACGAGAACACUCCAAAAGUCAUCCAUGUAUCCUCAUAAAGCUCGGAAAUUUCCAUGAACGGGCUGAACAUAAGAGUGGUGGACGUGGAUCCAUAUAAACCAAUCUUGUUUACUCAAGAAACCGGUAGGAGUCAUUUGUAAAUAUGAAUGGUGUCACGGUGUAAGGUAAGUUCUUCUCUAUGUGCACAGUUUAGGUGCAGAGGACUAUAUAUACAUAUAUAUAUAUAGUUUAUAUAUGUAUUGCCUUCAAUGUUGUAACGUUUUAUUUUCAGUUGUAGUUGUAGCCACACAGUUCUUGUAAGGUCUGUUGUGUUUAAAAUUUUCAGUUCUACGAGCCUAA